UGGUUUAAUUCGAUGCAACGCGAAAAACCUUACCUACUCUUGACAUACUUGGAAGCUCUUGUAAUGAGAGUGUGCUUUUAAGAACCAAGAUACAGGUGCUGCAUGGCUGUCGUCAGCUCGUGUCGUGAGAUGUUCCGUUAAGUCGGAUAACGAGCGCAACCCUUACCCUUAUUUGCCAGCGAUUCGGUCGGGAACUAUAAGGGGACUGCCGGUGAUAAACCGGAGGAAGGUGAGGACGACGUCAAGUCAUCAUGGCCCUUACGAGUAGGGCUACACACGUGAUACAAUGGGAGAGACAGACGGACGCUAAGCCGCGAGGUGGUGCUAAUCCUAGAAACUCUCUCGUAGUCCGGAUUGGAGUCUGCAACUCGACUCCAUGAAGUUGGAAUUGCUAGUAAUCGCGGAUCAGCAUGCCGCGGUGAAUACGUUCUCGGGUCUUGUACACACCGCCCGUA
rnacentral:rRNA from 1 species